GUUGAAUUUGAUUUGUUUUUUUUUUUUGUUCAAAAAAUUCAUUCUCCCGCUCUAUUCCAAAUCAAUUUCCCUCCCUUACCCUAAAUCAACCAUUCAUUUCCCCAUCCAAUUUGUAUCUCUCUGCACUUUCAUGAAUGAAUCUGGUUCUCUGCCAUGGAAAUCAUUAAUCAAGAGUUAAAAUAUUUAUAGAUCCAACAGUUAAUGUGGAGAUAUCAAUGGAUGGAAUCAGCGGUGGUUAAAUUAAAACUGAUCGAAGCAACACCGGAGCGAAGUGGUUCAGGCGUCGCCGGACGACAAGGAGUUCGGCUCUCACGAUGGACAACGUGACCUUUCAUAAGGCACUCGGCAACUUGUUUUUGAUGACUAAGUUGUGGGAAUGAUUGAUGCAGCACUAAAGGAGCCUUCAUGUUGAAAGGCUUAAUUCUUAAUGUAUUUCCAUGAAUAGAUAUCAAGGCAGAAAAGCUUUAUGAGAUGCUUGGAAGUUGAGGGCCCAAAGUUGACAAAGUGCUUAACUUUGCUAUAGAUGAUGCAUUUUUUUGAGGAAACGAUUAUUGGCCUUUGGAUCCAUCCUUCUAGUGGCUAAAGUUACCAUUCAAAAACACACUAAAGUUCAUGGCAUAGAUGAUGUAAGAUCACUCUCAUGGAACUUCUUUGUUUUUUUUGCUGUUUGACAUAACUUCAUGUUUACAGGUUGACUUUUUUCUAGUACUUUCUUUACUUUGAAGACUAAUGUUUUUUGAUUGUUUGUAUGUAAUCGUUAAGCGAGUUUAUUAAAGUUGUUUUAUGAGCGAGUGAUUUUAGAAAAAAGAAAUUUAAGGUCACUGGAGAACGAUUGAUUCAAUGUAAAGAUGACACUACAACUUCUCAAGUAACAACUAAAAGCACUCCAUAAACAAACUGAGAUGGUUGAUGAGCGGAUCUUAUAUAACAACUUCCCAAGAGAUCUAUCAAUAUCCAUGGGUUCAUUGUCUAGUAUUUCAACAUUUGUUCAUGUCCGUCGGAAAGUACUGAAUGUGGCUACUAUGUGAUGAAGUUCAUGAAGGAGAUAGCUUACAAAGGAGUUGAAAUAUUUGACAAUGAUAAUGUUGGCGAAUGAGUAGCUGAAUACUCGUGCGGAUAUUGAUAGCAUUUGUGAAGAUUGGUCGACUUAUGUGGCUACCUCUAUUUUUAAGUGACAUUGUAUUUUAGGUGUUGAUGAAUGUAUUGUAUUGACAAACAAUUCUUUUUUUGUUAACGUUAAAAUAUUUGUAGUAUACUUGACAAAUAAUUAUGUAAUGGAUUGUUUUGGUAUAUAUAUGUGUAUUUGUAUUAU
rnacentral:lncRNA from 1 species